rnacentral:rRNA from 1 species
UACGGAGGGUGCAAGCGUUAUCCGGAUUCACUGGGUUUAAAGGGUGCGUAGGCGGGUAGGUAAGUCAGUGGUGAAAUCCUGGAGCUUAACUCCAGAACUGCCAUUGAUACUAUCUAUCUUGAAUAUUGUGGAGGUAAGCGGAAUAUGUCAUGUAGCGGUGAAAUGCUUAGAUAUGACAUAGAACACCUAUUGCGAAGGCAGCUUACGACGCAUAUAUUGACUCUGAGGCACGAAAGCGUGGGGAUCAAACAGG